rnacentral:tRNA from 1 species
GCCGACGUAGCUCAAUUCGGCAGAGCAGCUCACUUGUAAUGAGCAGGUUGUCGGUUCGAGUCCGACCGUCGGCUCUA